AGCGGCGCGCUUAACACAUGCAAGUCGAACGAGAAAGGGUUCCUUCGGGGGCCCCGGUAAAGUGGCGCACGGGUGAGUAACACGUAGAUGACCUACCUCCUGGCGGGGGAUAACGUUCCGAAAGGAGCGCUAAUACCGCAUAAGACCACACUUUAAGGGAAGUGGUUAAAGCCGGCCUCUUCAUGAAAGCUGGCACCGGGAGACGGGUCUGCGGCCCAUCAGGUUGAUGGUGGGGUAAUGGCCUACCAUGCCUAAGACGGGUAGCUGGUCUGAGAGGAUGAUCAGCCACACUGGAACUGAGACACGGUCCAGACUCCUACGGGAGGCAGCAGUGGGGAAUCUUGCGCAAUGGGCGAAAGCCUGACGCAGCGACGCCGCGUGAGUGAUGAAGGCCCUAGGGUUGUAAAGCUCUGUGGAGUGGGACGAAUAAGCAAUGGUUAAUACCCAUUGUGAUGACGGUACCUCUUUAGCAAGCACCGGCUAACUCUGUGCCAGCAGCCGCGGUAAGACAAAGGGUGCAAACGUUGUUCGGAAUUACUGGGCGUAAAGCGCGUGUAGGCUGUCGUAUAUGUCGGGUGUGAAAGCCCAGGGCUCAACCCUGGAAGUGCAUUCGAAACUGUACGACUGGAGUCUCGGAGAGGGAGGCGGAAUUCUGGGUGUAGAGGUGAAAUUCGUAGAUAUCCAGAGGAACACCGGUGGCGAAGGCGGCCUCCUGGACGAGCACUGACGCUGAGACGCGAAAGCGUGGGGAGCAAACAGGAUUAGAUACCCCUGGUAGUCCACGCCGUAAACGAUGAGUG
rnacentral:rRNA from 1 species